UACGGGGGAGGCAAGCGUUGUUCGGAUUUACUGGGCGUAAAGGGCGCGUAGGCGGCCACCGCAAGUCGACUGUGAAAUCUCCGGGCUUAACCCGGAAAGGUCGGCCGAUACUGCGGGGCUAGAGUGCAGAAGGGGCAACUGGAAUUCUCGGUGUAGCGGUGAAAUGCGUAGAUAUCGAGAGGAACACCUGCGGCGAAGGCGGGUUGCUGGGCUGACACUGACGCUGAGGCGCGAAAGCCAGGGGAGCAAACGGG
rnacentral:rRNA from 1 species